rnacentral:lncRNA from 1 species
UGUUCGUUGGGUGUAUGUACUCUUCUUGUAAGUCUGCUCUAUGGAUAACAUUGACAUAACCUCAAAAUUUCGAUCAUAACAAAAACACCCUUCUUCUCGAUCUCGAACUCGUGCCGCUCGUGCGGUGAUAGGAAAGCAAUUAAAAAUGUCCAGUCUCUAUAUUUCAGUGUUUUUCUGUUCUUUUAGUUGAUGUCAAGUAAUUCAGUCGCGCCAUGCAUCGACUCGUGGGCCAUACGUGCGGCAAAGUGGCCAACAGUUUUCCUGUUUCUCAUUUUUACCCAAAGCCAAGUCCCAAUCAAGCCUGUUUCUUCUGCAAGCAGAGGCACACGCAGCUCCUGGCUGCAGUGAAAAUUAUUGACCGUAGAUCAGUGUCGACCAUUGCAAGUAGUAAUUUUGUGAUUCUUAAUAAUGUCAAUAAAACUAAGAAAACUCGCAAAUUGAAGAAAAAUUAUUCGGAGCUACUUCAAGUGAGCAACAAUGACAGUAAUAUGACGAAGGUACGAAUCAAGAACAUGAAAGCCAGUCAACUUGAUAUUUUUACGCAAAAUGAGGAACUCAUGGCCGAAGAAAAUGAAACAUUAAAAGAAGAGGAGUUCUUAAACAACAGUUUCACUGGAGCAGAAUACUGUGAUGAUAUGGACAUGAAAUUUGGAGGAUAUAUACUUAACGAAUCAGAUGCUGUGAAGUACAAGAACGGCUCUAGCUUGUCUGCAGAACACACUUUUUGCAGUCUCCAUCCAAGUGACCUAUCACCAAUAGGAGAGGCCACUGAUGAAUUUAAGCUGAACGAGCCAUCAGAUGGAAAAGGAAAAUCGCCAAAAAAGAAAAAUCCUCCAAAAAGAAAAAGGACGUCUCAGACUCAGGAUCCAAAAAGGAAACUUCCAAAGUAAAUGCAGGAUUAAGUAGUUUAAUCGCUAAGUAUGAAAAUUUAAGGAGAAUAGAGAAAGAAAAACAUUUCAACCGUAAUGUGCUUUCUUUUAUCGAAGUGUCGGUAAGUUGAUUUACCAUUUUCAUGGUUGUAAUUUAUUUCUUUAAUGAAGAAAUAUCACUUGCAUCGUUUGUUUUUAUGGACCUCUUUUAGCAGUAUGGAGCAAUAUUUCUUCGAGUGUCUCUUACAAAUCUUCAUCCAAACAAUCUAGCGCCCUAUGAAGCAGGAAUCAAAACUCAAAUUUUUGGGGACUCUCACUGAAGACUUAGCAUGUUCUCAGACCUUCUUGUAUGAUGUUAAAAACAAUAAAGUGAGAAAACCUCAAACUCUUCAGAGAAAUGUCCUGUUAAAAAUCCCUGCUGAAUAUUUAAGUCUUUAGUCCUGAGAUCUGGUAAUUUGCAGAUUUUUUAAAAAAAUUUUGUCUUCAAAAAUUAAAAAAACAUGAGAUAAAAUUAUUAUUCAAUCCCAGAAUUACAUCCUAUUUUCAUUCAAAUGGUGGUUAUAGAAUGAAUACCAAACUUCUCCACCAGCAGGACUCGAGAGAUUAAGAAAGGUUAGGGAUGAUGUAACCAAACUUUUUUCCAAAAAUAUUAUUGCUUUGUGAAUUAAAGAAGAAACCCGCUAAUACAGAAAUGUAUUUAAUGAACAGAAAUUCGCUUUUUAAAGUUCUGCAAGUCAGGUGGCUUAGCCUCAUCUGGAGAGAGAAAAGAUGUAGAGAUAGUGGUUUUUUAUGAACAUGAAUAAAAUGAAAUCUUUAAACAUAUGUUUUUCACUCUGAUGAGUUGGAGUAUUGUCAUAACUAUUCAGAAAUAGUAAUGGUUUAAUAUUUUAGUUUUUUCCCCGCAAGAUUACUGAAGCCUUAGCUCACCAAAUGAUAGCUCGGUCUCAAAAGUGCCUCAUUUUGUUAAGUCAUUGCAAGAAUUAUAUAAUUUUUUUUUUAUAUUUUUCACAUAUUUUCAAGAAUGCAUCAAUCCUUAACUUACAGUAAGAUCGCAGCAUUCCCUAAGUAUAGAAUAUGACGGAAAUGACAAUCUCUCUGUACGUUUAGCAAACUUUUCAGUUUUAUUCUGAGUCUGUACGCAUGGAGUCUUGUAAGGCUUCCUCUACAUACAGAGAGUACAUAAUCGCAUCUAAAUUUAGCAAGGUCACAGUUUAUAUCAGGAGAUGAAUUUUUGCAUCAUUUUCAUCAAUGUCUAUUGACUGUAUCUACUCACAAGAAAUUUUAAGUUGUUCGCUCAUUAUUCUGCAAAUUAUUUCUAAGUAUAUCUGAAUUAGAAAAAAAUAAUGAAGAGACAAUAAUUUGUAACACAGCUGAUUCAAUGCAAUUGAAAAUAAAAAAUAUUUCAAGCUUCAGAAGAGCAACCUUUUUUUUAAAGAGCCUUUUACUCACUUUUUGCUUUCCUUAACCUCUUGUUA